UAGGGAAUCUUCCACAAUGGACGCAAGUCUGAUGGAGCAACGCCGCGUGAGUGAAGAAGGUUUUCGGAUCGUAAAGCUCUGUUGUUGGUGAAGAAGGAUAGAGGUAGUAACUGGCCUUUAUUUGACGGUAAUCAACCAGAAAGUCACGGCUAACUACGUGCCAGCAGCCGCGGUAAUACGUAGGUGGCAAGCGUUGUCCGGAUUUAUUGGGCGUAAAGCGAGCGCAGGCGGAAGAAUAAGUCUGAUGUGAAAGCCCUCGGCUUAACCGAGGAAUUGCAUCGGAAACUGUUUUUCUUGAGUGCAGAAGAGGAGAGUGGAACUCCAUGUGUAGCGGUGGAAUGCGUAGAUAUAUGGAAGAAUACCAGUGGCGAAGGCGGCUCUCUGGUCUGCAACUGACGCUGAGGCUCGAAAGCAUGGGUAGCGAACAGGAUUAGAUACCCUGGUAGUCCAUGCCGUAAACGAUGAGUGCUAAGUGUUGGGAGGCUUCCGCCUCUCAGUGCUGCAGCUAACGCAUUAAGCACUCCGCCUGGGGGAGUACGACCGCAAGGUUGAAAC
rnacentral:rRNA from 1 species